GGCAACCCACCUUUCUGUCGCGCAUGGUUGCAAAUCGCAAACUCAGCCACUCGUCAGCUGUCGUGCACGGUCGGAGCGUAACAUCAUCCAGGCUGGCGCUUGUGUCAUCGUCAUGCCGGUCGAUGAAGGCAAAAGGUACUCUUGGGCCAGCUCUCGCUUCUCCACGACAUCUGUUUUCUCUGUCUCCUCAGCUAGUCGUUGAAGACUAGUUUCAAUGGCAACAAGACGUCCAAGAAAAUCAUCCACUGCUGCUUGGAACUCUUGCAAGGAACUGCGGUCACUCUGCAAUGAUUUCCAUCUGCUAGCCAAUCUGAAAAGCAUCAUUAUAUGAAUGGAUCCCAAUACCUCUAUCAUCAAAGGGGGCCCGGAGAAAUCUCUACCCCCAGGGCCCGUGCUGACUCUUAACAGUCCUGCGCCUGACCUGCCAACGUCAGCCACACAGCUGUAACCCAGCCUGCCUGGACAAUACUAGCAGGUGCAUGACUGAGUGUGACUGAUACAAGCAUUGAUACCUAGAAUGUUCGGUGCAGGAGAGGGCAUGUAUGACGAGUAGAUGCUGGAUGUUUGAACAUUAACAUUUGUACACAAGUUUUGAGAGCUAAUGUCAAAGUACUGGGAGUGAAAGUGGUAGAGAACUGCAGGAGCUGUUGUGUGGGUGCGAGUUGUGCUUAUGUGUUUGGCAUGUGUCACCACUAGCUUGUAUUUGGUGCAUGUCACCGCUAGAUUGUUGUGUCCGGCAUGUGUCGCCUUUAGCCAGUGUCACUGAGGCCAGAGCUGUGAGGCAUGUGUUGGUUCAAGUAGCAGGAGUCACUGCUAGAAUAGUUUCAGCAUGGACUGAUAUUGUCUUGCUGAUGUAUCGCCGAUUUGCCAGCAUAUAUAAAAGUGGAAAUUGUUGUGUAAGGGUGUAAAUAAAGUGCUUCAUUUGAAAUA